GCCGGAGUAGCUCAGGUGGUUAGAGCAAUGGAAUCAUAAUCCAUGUGUCGGGGGUUCAAGUCCCUCCUUCGGUACCA
rnacentral:tRNA from 1 species